GACGAACCGUCCAAACGUUAUUCGGAAUCACUGGGCUUACAGAGUUCGUAGGCGGUCCCAAAAGUUAGGUGUGAAAUCCCUCGGCUCAACCGAGGAACUGCGCUUAAAACUGUGGGACUCGAGGGAGAUAGAGGAAAGCGGAACUGAUGGUGGAGCGGUGAAAUGCGUUGAUAUCAUCAGGAACACCGGUGGCGAAGGCGGCUUUCUGGGUCUUACCUGGACGCUGAGGAACGAAAGCUAGGGGAGCGAACGGG
rnacentral:rRNA from 1 species